rnacentral:rRNA from 1 species
GUAGGGAAUAUUGGACAAUGGGGGCAACCCUGAUCCAGCGACGCCGCGUGAGUGAUGAAGGCCUUCGGGUCGUAAAGCUCUGUUGCAGGGGAAGAACACAAUGACGGUACCCUGCUAGAAAGGAUCGGCUAACUUCGUGCCAGCAGCCGCGGUAAGACGAGGGAUCCUAGCGUUGUUCGGUACUAUUGGGCGUAAAGCGGGUGCAGGUGGCUUGGUAAGUCAGAUGUGAAAGCCUGGGGCUUAACCCCAGAAGUGCAUUUGAUACUGCUGAGCUUGAGUGCUGGAGAGGCUAUUAGAAUUCCUGGUGUAGUGGUGAAAUACGUAGAUAUCAGGAGGAAUACCGGAGGCGAAGGCGGAUAGCUGGCCAGACACUGACACUCAGACCCGAAAGCGUGGGGAUCAAACAGGAUUAGAUACCCGAGUAGUCC